GAUGAACGCUGGCGGCGUGCCUAAUACAUGCAAGUCGAGCGAACGGACGAGAAGCUUGCUUCUCUGAUGUUAGCGGCGGACGGGUGAGUAACACGUGGAUAACCUACCUAUAAGACUGGGAUAACUUCGGGAAGCCGGAGCUAAUACCGGAUAAUAUUUUGAACCGCAUGGUUCAAAAGUGAAAGACGGUCUUGCUGUCACUUAUAGAUGGAUCCGCGCUGCAUUAGCUAGUUGGUAAGGUAACGGCUUACCAAGGCAACGAUGCAUAGCCGACCUGAGAGGGUGAUCGGCCACACUGGAACUGGGACACGGUCCAGACUCCUACGGGAGGCAGCAGUAGGGAAUCUUCCGCAAUGGGCGAAAGCCUGACGGAGCAACGCCGCGUGAGUGAUGAAGGUCUUCGGAUCGUAAAACUCUGUUAUUAGGGAAGAACAUAUGUGUAAGUAACUGUGCACAUCUUGACGGUACCUAAUCAGAAAGCCACGGCUAACUACGUG
rnacentral:rRNA from 1 species